UGCCAGCCGCCGCGGUAAUACGGAGGGGGUUAGCGUUGUUCGGAAUUACUGGGCGUAAAGCGUACGUAGGCGGAUCAGAAAGUAUAGGGUGAAAUCCCGGGGCUCAACCCCGGAAGUGCAUUGGAAACUGGCGAACUUGAGUACGGGAGAGGAAAGUGGAAUUCCGAGUGUAGGGGUGAAAUCCGUAGAUAUUCGGAGGAACACCAGUGGCGAAGGCGGCUUUCUGGACCGAUACUGACGCUGAGACGCGAAAGCGUGGGGAGCAAACAGGAUUAGAUA
rnacentral:rRNA from 1 species